GCGCCUGGAAGGUGCCAGGCCUGGGCCGAGCGCUUUGCACCCUGCUCCUCUGGCGCCCGGCCUGCUGGGGGGGGGGGGGGCGGCAAAGGAGAGGAGACUCGCGGUCCGGCACCAACCGCUGCACCCCCCUUCCCCUCCCCCACCCUCGCUGCCGAGCCGUCAGUCAGCCGGCGCAGAGUCCCGCGCCGCGCUCCCUCCCCGGGGUCCCGCGCUGUCCUCCCUCCCCGGAGUCCCGCGCCGCGCUCCCUCCCCGGGGUCCCGCACCGUGUCCCGCGCCGCGCUCCCUCCCCGGGGUCCCGCGCUGUCCUCCCUCCCCGGGGUCCCGCACCGUGUCCCGCGCCGCGCUCCCUCCCCGGGGUCCCGCACCGUGUCCCGCGCCGCGCCCCUCCCCGGGGUCCCGCACCGUGUCCCGCGCCGCGCUCCCUCCCCGGGGUCCCGCGCUGUCCUCCCUCCCGGGGUCCCGCACCGUGUCCCGCGCCGCUCCCUCCCCGGGGUCCCGCACCGUGUCCCGCGCCGCGCUCCCUCCCCGGGGUCCCGCGCUGUCCUCCCUCCCCGGGGUCCCGCACCGUGUCCCGCGCCGCGCUCCUUCCCGGGUCCCGCACCGUGUCCCCGCCGCGCUCCCUCCCCAGGUCCCGCUUGCCCUCCCUCCCCGGAGUCCCGCGCUUACCUCCCUCCCCGGAGUCCCGCGCUGUCCUCCCUCCCCGGAGUCCCGCGCCGCGCUCCCUCCCCGGGGUCCCGCACCGUGUCCCGCGCCGCGCUCCCUCCCCGGGGUCCCGCGCCGUGUCCCGCGCCGCGCUCCCUCCCCGGGGUCCCUCCCCGGGGUCUCCCGUGGCGGCGAGGGCGAGUCCGGGGCUCGGACACUUGAGGCCCCGCGGGGGGUGCCCCGCGCUGUCCGAGACCGAGGGCUCCGCCAUCGCCGUGGCCCGGAUCAAGGACUCGCCCGGGGCCGGGCUGCCGCGCGCCUUUUUAAUUAAGGUCUUUCCCAGGUCUGGGCCCGGCGGAGGCAACAGCCCGCGGCGUCUAAGGCCUAGGGAUCAAUUGGACAAAAGAGGGACUAAUUCGUCCCUAGAGAAUCGGUCUGAAAAAGGCGCCGUGAUGGGCCCGGAGUCAAAUAGCUCCCCCAAAUGA
rnacentral:lncRNA from 1 species